rnacentral:rRNA from 1 species
CGUGCAAAGGUAGCGUAAUCACUUGUCUACUAAUUAUAGACCAGUAUGAAUGGCACCACGAGGGUUAAACUGUCUCCCUACUUCAAUCAGUUAAACUGAUCUCCCCGUGAAGAAGCGAGGAUAUUAUUAUAAGACGAGAAGACCCCAUGGAGCUUCAAACUAAGAGUCAACUACUAAACCAAACACCCAAAAAAUAAAAUAGCAUGACCUCAAAGUUUUAGGUUGGGGCGACCACGGAGCACAACAAAACCUCCACGAUGAACGAAUAUUAAGUUCUUACCCAAGAGCCACACCACAAAGGANCAUAAUUAUGGCAUCUCUUGACCCAAACCACUUGAUCAACGAACCUAGUUACCCUGGGGAUAACAGCGCAAUCUAUUUCAAGAGCUCCUAUCGACAAAUAGGUUUACGACCUCGA